CUUUACCCGAUCCUUACACAUGCAAGUCGAACGGAAUCUUCGGAUUUAGUGGCGGACGGGUGAGUAACGCGUGAGAAUCUAGCUCUAGGUCGGGGACAACCACUGGAAACGGUGGCUAAUACCGGAUGUGCCGAAAGGUGAAAGAUUUAUUGCCUAGAGAUGAGCUCGCGUCUGAUUAGCUAGUUGGUGUGGUAAGAGCGCACCAAGGCGACGAUCAGUAGCUGGUCUGAGAGGAUGAUCAGCCACACUGGGACUGAGACACGGCCCAGACUCCUACGGGAGGCAGCAGUGGGGAAUUUUCCGCAAUGGGCGAAAGCCUGACGGAGCAAUACCGCGUGAGGGAGGAAGGCUCUUGGGUUGUAAACCUCUUUUCUCAGGGAAUAAGAAAGUGAAGGUACCUGAGGAAUAAGCAUCGGCUAACUCCGUGCCAGCAGCCGCGGUAAUACGGAGGAUGCAAGCGUUAUCCGGAAUGAUUGGGCGUAAAGCGUCCGCAGGUGGCACUGUAAGUCUGCUGUUAAAGAGCAAGGCUCAACCUUGUAAAGGCAGUGGAAACUACAGAGCUAGAGUACGUUCGGGGCAGAGGGAAUUCCUGGUGUAGCGGUGAAAUGCGUAGAAAUA
rnacentral:rRNA from 1 species